rnacentral:rRNA from 1 species
AAUGGUGAAAAGUACCGCGGGAGCGGAGUGAAAUAGUACCUGAAACCGUGUGCCUACAAGCCGUGGGAGCGUCGCCGUCAAGCUUGCUUGGCGGUCGUGACUGCGUGCCUUUUGAAGAAUGAGCCUGCGAGUUAGCGGUGUGUAGCGAGGUUAACCCGUGUGGGGAAGCCGUAGCGAAAGCGAGUCCGAAUAGGGCGUUUGAGUUGCACGCUCUAGACCCGAAGCGGAGUGAUCUAGCCAUGGGCAGGUUGAAGCGGAGGUAAGACUUCGUGGAGGACCGAACCCACCAGGGUUGAAAACCUGGGGGAUGACCUGUGGUUAGGGGUGAAAGGCCAAUCAAACUCCGUGAUAGCUGGUUCUCCCCGAAAUGCAUUUAGGUGCAGCGUCGUGUGUUUCUUGCCGGAGGUAGAGCACUGGAUAGGCGAUGGGCCCUACCGGGUUACUGACCUUAGCCAAACUCCGAAUGCCGGUAAGUGAGAGCGCGGCAGUGAGACUGUGGGGGAUAAGCUCCAUGGUCGAGAGGGAAACAGCCCAGAGCAUCGACUAAGGCCCCUAAGCGUACGCUAAGUGGGAAAGGAUGUGGAGUCGCAGAGACAACCAGGAGGUUGGCUUAGAAGCAGCCACCCUUGAAAGAGUGCGUAAUAGCUCACUGGUCAAGUGAUUCCGCGCCGACAAUGUAGCGGGGCUCAAGCGUACCGCCGAAGUCGUGUCAUUCACAUAUGUAGCCUUAACGGGUGUGUGGAUGGGUAGGGGAGCGUCGUGUGCCGGGUGAAGCAGCCGUGGAAACGAGUUGUGGACGGUUCACGAGUGAGAAUGCAGGCAUGAGUAGCGAUACACACGUGGGAAACGUGUGCGCCGAUUGACUAAGGGUUCCUGGGUCAAGCUGAUCUGCCCAGGGUAAGUCGGGACCUAAGGCGAGGCCGACAGGCGUAGUCGAUGGACAACCGGUUGAUAUUCCGGUACCCGCUUUGAAGCGCCAAACAUUGAAUCAGGCGAUGCUAAGUCCGUGAAGCCGUCCUGGAUCCUUCGGGUGAAGGGGAGUGGUGGAGCCGAUGACCCAGACUUGUAGUAGGUGAGUGAUGGGGUGACGCAGGAAGGUAGUCCAGCCCGGGCGGUGGUUGUCCCGGGGUAAGGGUGUAGGCCGUGUGAUAGGCAAAUCCGUCACACAUUGAGGCUGAGACCUGAUGCCGAGCCGAUUGUGGUGAAGUGGAUGAUCCUAUGCUGUCGAGAAAAGCCUCUAGCGAGUUUCAUGGCGGCCCGUACCCUAAACCGACUCAGGUGGUCAGGUAGAGAAUACCGAGGCGUUCGGGUGAACUAUGGUUAAGGAACUCGGCAAAAUGCCCCCGUAACUUCGGGAGAAGGGGGGCCAUGUCUGGUGAUGGGAUUUACUCCUUGAGCUGGGUGUGGCCGCAGAGACCAGCGAGAAGCGACUGUUUACUAAAAACACAGGUCCGUGCGAAGCCGUAAGGCGAUGUAUACGGACUGACGCCUGCCCGGUGCUGGAACGUUAAGGGGACCGGUUAGCGCAUCUUCGGGUGUGCGAAGCUGAGAACUUAAGCGCCAGUAAACGGCGGUGGUAACUAUAACCAUCCUAAGGUAGCGAAAUUCCUUGUCGGGUAAGUUCCGACCUGCACGAAUGGCGUAACGACUUCUCGACUGUCUCAACCAUAGGCCCGGUGAAAUUGCACUACGAGUAAAGAUGCUCGUUUCGCGCAGCAGGACGGAAAGACCCCGGGACCUUUACUAUAGCUUGAUAUUGGUGUUCGGUUCGGCUUGUGUAGGAUAGGUGGGAGACUGUGAAGCAUGCACGCCAGUGUGUGUGGAGUCGUUGUUGAAAUACCACUCUGGUCGUGCUGGAUGUCUAACCUGGGUCCGUGAUCCGGAUCAGGGACAGUGUCUGGUGGGUAGUUUAACUGGGGCGGUUGCCUCCUAAAGGGUAACGGAGGCGCCCAAAGGUUCCCUCAGCCUGGUUGGCAAUCAGGUGUUGAGUGUAAGUGCACAAGGGAGCUUGACUGUGAGACCGACGGGUCGAGCAGGGACGAAAGUCGGGACUAGUGAUCCGGCGGUGGCUUGUGGAAGCGCCGUCGCUCAACGGAUAAAAGGUACCCCGGGGAUAACAGGCUGAUCUUCCCCAAGAGUCCAUAUCGACGGGAUGGUUUGGCACCUCGAUGUCGGCUCGUCGCAUCCUGGGGCUGGAGUCGGUCCCAAGGGUUGGGCUGUUCGCCCAUUAAAGCGGUACGCGAGCUGGGUUUAGAACGUCGUGAGACAGUUCGGUCCCUAUC